AAAAAAAAGGGAUCAAACCAAAACAAGAACUAAAAAUACCAAAAAUUAGACAUGUACUACAUUAAAAGAAAUUGUUUUCUUGAAAACCUUGUUGGAAAUUUAUCUAAUGUUUCAAAUCAACCCUUCUCACACAACUGUUUUAAAGAAAUAGCACACAGAAAAUGUGCUUCAAGGUUACAUGUAAUUUGUGAAUUUUAUGUGUUUUAAGAGUGGUAUUGUCUUUGUUAUUACCAUAAAUUUGUUAUGACAAAGAGGAAGUAGAACCAUUUAGCCAAAGCUAACACAUGAACAACUAUCUGAAGUUUUAUUAUACUUUGAACACAAAAAUAUCAAAUAUUUAAAAAAGAAGUAAAAAUAGCAUAUUGAUAUGGCCAACACAACCCCAUCCACCACAUAUCACCUUUGUUUAAUACUUUCAAACCAUUUAAUUGAUCAAAGUUUUUGAGUGGAAUAAAAAUAAGAAAACAAAAAAGAUAUGUCAAAUGGGUGAGAGGUUGUGGUGGUAAUAGCAAAAACUGAAGAAACAUCAACAGAAUCCUUAAAAUAGAAAAAGUAAUUGGAAGAAAAGAACGUCCAGUUGGUUUCAAAUUUAUUGAACUGCAUACACAAGGUGACCUUUCAUAAGAACUUGAAAUUGGUUAAUUACUCAAUUAGAAAAAUUAAAGAGAAAACUGAAAAAAACCCAAGUAAUCACACCUUUGAUUUCUAUCAGAUAACUUGCAGCGCAGGCUCAUUUGUUUUUAUUUAUAAGUUGAUCUUUAAUGAUCAGCAAACAAUUCUGAUUACCUUUUCCUUUACUAUGCUUUCACCUUACCAUUGCUUUUUAAAUGUUUUUGUUCAGUAAAAAAAUUAAGUCAAUUUGGGUGAAUAUUUCAUUACAUGUUAUUAUUUUUCAUAUUAUUAUGCAUAAAUCUUGAAAAGAUGAGGAGAGAAAAAUGUUAACUUUUGGAUUUAAAAUACACAAGGAAUGCACAUGAAAAUAAAAAUAAUUGGCCUCUCAACAAAACUUCACCACCUCACAAUCUGAUCUAAUACUUAACCAAAUACUUGAAAGUCAUGCUACACAACCAUAAUUGAAUAUCCUGUUGCAUUCUAUAAAAUGAUUGGUCACAAGUAUACUACCAUUCUAUGGAAUAGAGAAUGACCAAUUUCAAAAUAAAAUUAAAAUAAAAUGAGUCCCAUAUCAACCACAGAAAGCAUAAUCAGCCCUCUGUGUGUGAGUGUGUGUGUGUAUGCAUGGGUGGACAAGUGUGCUCUUGAUAAGAAAGAAUUAAAAACUUGCAAAGAAUGUGGUAUAAUUUGCAGGCUUUCACAUCCACAAACCCUUUCCCCCUGU
rnacentral:lncRNA from 1 species